rnacentral:rRNA from 1 species
GUGAGGAAUAUUGGUCAAUGGACGGAAGUCUGAACCAGCCAAGUAGCGUGCAGGAUGACGGCCCUAUGGGUUGUAAACUGCUUUUAUGCGGGGGUAAAGUGAGUGACGUGUCAUUCAUUGCAAGUACCGCAAGAAUAAGGACCGGCUAAUUCCGUGCCAGCAGCCGCGGUAAUACGGAAGGUCCUGGUGUUAUCCGGAUUUAUUGGGUUUAAAGGGAGCGUAGGCCGUCAGGCAAGCGUGUUGUGAAAUGUCGUGGCUCAACCAUGGACUUGCAGCGCGAACUGCCCGACUUGAGUGCGCGGAAAGCAGGCGGAAUUUGUGGUGUAGCGGUGAAAUGCUUAGAUAUCACGAAGAACCCCGAUUGCGAAGGCAGCCUGCUGUAGCGCUACUGACGCUGAAGCUCGAAAGUGCGGGUAUCGAACAGGAUUAGAAACCCCGGUAGUCC